rnacentral:lncRNA from 1 species
UCAAACUCACAUUGGCUGCAACUCUUCAGGUUUGUUUUCUUUAACCUUUCAUCUAAUUUUUUUUUUUUUUGGAUUUUGGCUAAUGCAAAAGUUGCAAGGUGUCAUGCAUGCAUGAAAGGGGCUAGGUGUCAUCUUUAGAGUAAACAUAAGUGGCACCAUUAGGUUAGCUAGUGACACAUGUCCACUAUUUUUUUUUUAACUUAAAUCUGAAUCUUUCAUAAAUUAUUUCAAACUUCUAAUAUUUACUCUUAGGUCCCUAGCCAUAAACUUUUAAUAUAAUAUUAUUUAAUAUAAAAUAAUUAUUAAAUAAUCC